UACGUAGGGUGCAAGCGUUAAUCGGAAUUACUGGGCGUAAAGCGUGCGCAGGCGGUGAUGUAAGACAGAUGUGAAAUCCCCGGGCUCAACCUGGGAACUGCAUUUGUGACUGCAUGGCUAGAGUACGGCAGAGGGGGAUGGAAUUCCGCGUGUAGCAGUGAAAUGCGUAGAUAUGCGGAGGAACACCGAUGGCGAAGGCAAUCCCCUGGGCCUGUACUGACGCUCAUGCACGAAAGCGUGGGGAGCAAACGGG
rnacentral:rRNA from 1 species